CCCAAAUUGCUGGGAUUACAGGCAUGAGCCACCAUGCCUGGUUAUGCUUCCAGCCUUUAGACAUCUUUUAAAAUUGACAUAUUGUAAUUGUACGUAUUUGUGGGGUGUGGAAUCAACCCAUCUGUAGAUGCUCCUACUCUGCCUGGCAGGAAGAGCGGAGAUGACCUUCUUGGGCUGUCAAGGUCUUGCUGUGUCAGCAGGGGGCAGCAGCUACCAGAAAGUGCGCAGAGCCUGGGCUCUGCAUUUCCCUGCGCGCACUGCGUGUUGACCCUCCAAGCCUGCGUGGUCAGCCUCAUGGGCACUUUGCAGAAGGGCCUGAAAAACUGCACAUAGAAGGGUGGGGGUGUGUAUACAUCAGAAUGGAACCCUAUUUGUACUUGUCAUGGGCCUCUUGCAUUCCCGUGUGUCCUCGGAAUCACCUAUUGCGUGUGAGAGCUGGCUCAAGUCUGCAGCGCAGCUGGUCUCAGGAGAGUCUCGCUCUUGUUGCCCAGGCUGGAGUGCAAUGGCACGAUCUCGUCUCACCGCAACCUCUGCCUCCCAGGUUCAAGCAAUUCUCCUGCCUCAGCCUCCCGAGUAGCUGGGAUUACAGGCAUGCACCACCAAGCCCGGCUAAUUCUGUAUUUUUAGUAGAGAUGGGGUUUCUCCAUGUUGAGGCUGGUCUUGAACUCCUGACCUCAGGUGAUCUGCCCGCCUCAGCCUCCCAAAGUGCUGGGAUUACAGGCGUGAGCCACCGCGCCCGGCUGACUGAUUCAGGUUUCUAAACUGAGCAAUAUAAUUUAGCACAUCAGCAGACUAAAGAAGAAAAGCCAUAUGAUUAUAUUGAUUCAGAAAAAAAGUUUGACAAAAUCAAACACCCAUUUAUGAUAAAAAUUCUCAGCAAAUUAUGAAUUAGUAAAACUUCUUUAACAUAGAAUUGCUACAGAAAACAUACAGCUAACUAACAUCACACAGAAUGAUGAAAAUGGCAUGCUCUUCUGAGCUUGGAAACAAAGCAGGGUUGUCCUCUAUUACCACUCCUAUUCAACACUGUAUUGGAAAUCUUAGGUAGUGCAAUAACACAAGAACGAGAAAAAAGUUACAGGUUAGAAAGGAAAAAAUUAAACUCUAUUUGCAGAAGAUACAAUUUUCUAUGUAGAACAUCUCAAAGAAUUGACAAACAAAACAAACCAAUUUAUGGAAGUAAGUUAGCAUUGCAAGGUCAUGGGAUACAAGACUAACAUAAGAAGUCAAUGACUAACUUGAGGAAGUUAUGCUAAGUGAAAUGUGCCAGUCACAAAAGACAAAUAUUGUAUGAUUCAACUUACAUGAGAUACCUAGAAGACAAAUUCAUAGAGGCAGAAAGUAGAAUGAUAGUUACCAGGGGAAAAAGGUGAAAUGGGAAAGUCUUGUUUAGUGGGUAUAAAAUUUCAAUUUCGCAAAAUAAAAACGUUCUGUGGU